UGGGGAAUAUUGCACAAUGGGGGGAACCCUGAUGCAGCAACGCCGCGUGGAGGAAGAAGCAUUUCGGUGUGUAAACUCCUUUUAUAUAGGAAGAUAAUGACGGUACUGUAUGAAUAAGCACCGGCUAACUCCGUG
rnacentral:rRNA from 1 species